rnacentral:tRNA from 1 species
GGCCGUAUAGCCAAGUGGUUACGGCGUUGCACUUGAAAUGCAAUCCACUAUGUGGGCGUAGGUUCAAAUCCUGCUGCGGUCG